rnacentral:piRNA from 1 species
UGACAGAUAAGCGAAUGCCCAUACUAGA